rnacentral:rRNA from 1 species
UACGAAGGGGGCUAGCGUUGCUCGGAAUGACUGGGCGUAAAGGGCGCGUAGGCGGCUUGCACCGUCAGAUGUGAAAUUCCUGGGCUUAACCUGGGGGCUGCAUUUGAUACGUGUGGGCUUGAGUGCGGAAGAGGGUCGUGGAAUUCCCAGUGUAGAGGUGAAAUUCGUAGAUAUCGGGAGGAACACCAGUGGCGAAGGCGACUACCUGGCCUGUUCUUGACGCUGAGGCGCGAAAGCUAGGGGAGCAAACGGG